GUGGGGAAUUUUGGACAAUGGGCGCAAGCCUGAUCCAGCAAUGCCGCGUGUGUGAAGAAGGCCUUCGGGUUGUAAAGCACUUUUGGCAGGAAAGAAAUAGCGCGUGCUAAUACCAUGCGCGAAUGACGGUACCUGCAGAAUAAGCACCGGCUAACUACGUGCCAGCAGACGCGGUAAGACGUAGGGUGCAAGCGUUAAUCGGAAUUAUUGGGCGUAAAGCGUGCGCAGGCGGUUUUGUAAGACAGGUGUGAAAUCCCCGGGCUCAACCUGGGAACUGCACUUGUGACUGCAAGGCUAGAGUGUGUCAGAGGGAGGUGGAAUUCCGCGUGUAGCAGUGAAAUGCGUAGAGAUGCGGAGGAACACCGAUGGCGAAGGCAGCCUCCUGGGAUAACACUGACGCUCAGGCACGAAAGCGUGGGGAGCAAACAGGAUUAGAAACCCCAGUAGUCC
rnacentral:rRNA from 1 species